UCGGCCUCUACGGUCUCAUCGUCGCC
rnacentral:piRNA from 1 species